rnacentral:rRNA from 1 species
GACGAACGCUGGCGGCGUGCCUAAUACAUGCAAGUAGGACGCACAGUUUAUACCGUAGCUUGCUACACCAUAGACUGUGAGUUGCGAACGGGUGAGUAACGCGUAGGUAACCUACCUAUUAGAGGGGGAUAACUAUUGGAAACGAUAGCUAAUACCGCAUAACAGUAUGUAACACAUGUUAGAUGCUUGAAAGAUGCAAUUGCAUCGCUAGUAGAUGGACCUGCGUUGUAUUAGCUAGUAGGUAGGGUAAAGGCCUACCUAGGCAACGAUACAUAGCCGACCUGAGAGGGUGAUCGGCCACACUGGGACUGAGACACGGCCCAGACUCCUACGGGAGGCAGCAGUAGGGAAUCUUCGGCAAUGGGGGGAACCCUGACCGAGCAACGCCGCGUGAGUGAAGAAGGUUUUCGGAUCGUAAAGCUCUGUUGUUAAGGAAGAACGAGUGUGAGAAUGGAAAGUUCAUGCUGUGACGGUACUUAACCAGAAGGGGACGGCUAACUACGUGCCAGCAGCCGCGGUAAUACGUAGGUCCCGAGCGUUGUCCGGAUUUAUUGGGCGUAAAGCGAGCGCAGGCGGUUAGAAAAGUCUGAAGUGAAAGGCAGUGGCUCAACCAUUGUAGGCUUUGGAAACUGUUUAACUUGAGUGCAGAAGGGGAGAGUGGAAUUCCAUGUGUAGCGGUGAAAUGCGUAGAUAUAUGGAGGAACACCGGUGGCGAAAGCGGCUCUCUGGUCUGUAACUGACGCUGAGGCUCGAAAGCGUGGGGAGCGAACAGG